rnacentral:tRNA from 1 species
AUCUUUCUUACUCAAUUUCCAAAGUUUUUUGAUUUCCCGGCUUAGUAUUAGAUAUAAAUAUACCUAUCGAAUCUUAGUAUUAGU